GGGAACGAUUACAAUCAAGGAGAGAGAGAAGGAAAGGAAUCAAUUCGUACAUGGUUCAUCAUGCAAUACUUGUUAUAAUAAGAAUUUCUACCUCUAGAUUAUAAGCAAAUCUUAUUCCAAAAAAAACAAUGUUGUCAUUGGGAGAUCUAUCCAAAGACCUUAGUGGUUGAAAAACGAGAAAAAGUGAACAACAAAGGGGGCUUCGGGAUUCAAAAAUGCAGUUUGAAGUGAAGGAACGUAAGUUUGAAGAAUUUGAAUUAAAAACUUUAUCGAAUUUUUUUUUUGCUAUGGUUGAAGAUGAAGAGUUUGAGGAAUGUGUGCAAGGAAAGAAAAAUAUCAUGUUUUUAGAUAUUCCAUUGGAAGUUGAAGAAAGACCAUCCAUAGAGAUAAUAAUGGAGGACGAAGAAACUAAAGUCAUGGAUUUUAUGGAAGUUGAAAGUUUAUCUAUCUUUACCCUCUAUUGCUUCCCUUAAUUUUAUUUGUCCAAGUGUUUUUGUAGAGCAAAGGCAAGGGCAAAGUUGAUCAAUUCAAUAUCAUUUGAAUCUCCAUGGACCAUCUCAUCAAAGAAGGCUAUCUGGUGCACAUCCCCAAUAAUGAUUUUCAUUCUCCUUCAAUUCAAAAUUCGAGGGAGGAUUUAUUCCUAGUGGAGAAGAAUGAUAUGAAAGUGUUCUAACUCGAGGACAAGUUUUUCCCAAGUGGAAGAGUAUGAUGCAGAGCAUGUUUCUUCAAACCAGUAAACCACACACCCACCUAGUGUACCAGGCCCUGCCACAUGCCCAGGAAGUGUG
rnacentral:misc_RNA from 1 species